rnacentral:misc_RNA from 1 species
AGAGAGUCAGAGACCAACAUGCUUUAGUAAUCCUGAUUAUCUAUCUACACCAACACAUGUAAAAUAAUUGAAGAGUCCUAAAUCCCAACCUCCAAAUAUAUAAAAAUAAGAAAGGGGAAAAUCAGACUGUCUUUUGCCAGAAUAGAGGAACAAAAAGAAACAUUCAACACACAAACUGAUGACGAUUCACAGAAGUGACGACCGGGAUAGAGGAACAAGCCCACCGUAAUCUCACCAAGCUUUGAUUUCAUUCCCAGCAGGCACCACUACAAUAUGAAGAGCGUUUAUCUUUUUUCGCUCUUUUGAUCAGUUUGAUCUUCUUGUACCAUUUUACGAGCCACAGCAAGCUGACUUUUGGGCGGCUUGACCAUCCCCGGCUGCUGCAUCUGGCUUGUUUAUUUUGAUUGUUUGAGGCUCUGCCUUCGAAUCAGUGUCUGCGAGCCUUUGCUUGAUGU